GGGAAAGAGUAUGCAAAAGCAGUUUGGAGAAGCAGGUCCAAACCAGUCUGCCAUGUCAUUUGAGCAGAAACUCCAAAACUGCUGGUCCAAGGAGCUAGACUGGCUUCUAAGCAUCUGAUGCUACUUAUCUCCAAAAUUGCUUAUCAUGCUUCAGAAGUUUUUCAUCAAACUUCUACUUAGGUUUUGAGAACAAAAAAUUGAUUGGAUAAAUAAAGCUUUACAAAGUGAUGUUUUCCUUCUGAAUUGCUUGAGGAAUUUUAGUUAGAG
rnacentral:misc_RNA from 1 species